UGCAAGUCGGGCGGCAAGGGGGAGCAAUCCCCCCUAGAGCGGCGGACUGGUGAGUAACGCGUGGGCGACCUGCCCCGGGGAUGGGGACAGCCGCUGGAAACAGCGGGUAAUACCGAAUACGUCCGACCGCUCGCGAGCGGACGGAGAAAGGGGCUACGGCCCCGCCCCGUGAUGGGCCCGCGUCCCAUUAGCUAGUUGGUGUGGUAAGAGCGCACCAAGGCGAAGAUGGGUAGCCGGCCUGAGAGGGCGAACGGCCACACUGGGACUGAGAUACGGCCCAGACUCCUACGGGAGGCAGCAGCUAAGAAUAUUCCGCAAUGGACGAAAGUCUGACGGAGCGACGCCGCGUGGAUGACGAAGGCCGAAAGGUUGUAAAAUCCUUUUGCGGGCGAAGAAGAAGGACCGGAGGGAAUGCCGGUUCGGUGACGCCGGCCCGCGAAUAAGCCCCGGCUAAUUACGUGCCAGCAGCCGCGGUAACACGUAAGGGGCGAGCGUUGUUCGGAAUUAUUGGGCGUAAAGGGCGCGUAGGCGGCCACGUAAGUCUGAUGUGAAAACCCCGGGCUCAACCCGGGAACUGCAUUGGAAACUGCGCGGCUUGAGUCACGGAGGGGAAGCCGGAAUUCCUGGUGUAGGGGUGAAAUCUGUAGAUAUCAGGAAGAACACCGAUGGCGAAGGCAGGCUUCCAGCCGAUGACUGACGCUGAGGCGCGAAAGUGCGGGGAGCAAACAGGAUUAGAUACCCUGGUAGUCCGCACUGUAAACGAUGCGCACUAGCGUCGGGGCGAGCGUUCCGGUGCCGAAGCGAACGCGGUAAGUGCGCCGCCUGGGGAGUAUGCCCGCAAGGGUGAAACUCAAGGA
rnacentral:rRNA from 1 species